CGGCCCCGGGCGGGCAUCCUGCUCCUGGCAGAGCGGGCACGGCGCAGUGCUGCUGCUCUAGGGCCGAACACUUGCCUUGCCGCUUUAUGUGCCUGUGGGUUUAUAAUCGAAUAAUAAGAAACUUUCAUCUCUUUGAAGAAAAUGGAAGAUGCAAAACCGGUAUUUCUAAGCCAUCACCAUUAUAUUCCUCUUAUUUCAUUUUAAUCUUAAAGUUUCUGUAAUGUGCUACUUUAAAGAAAUAAAUUUCUGUUUUAAACAAUUCCUUUUA